UACCAGCACCCCGAGUUGUCGGGACGAUUAUUGGGCCUAAAGCAUCCGUAGCCUGUUCUGCAAGUCCUCCGUUAAAUCCACCUGCUCAACGGAUGGGCUGCGGAGGAUACCGCAGAGCUAGGAGGCGGGAGAGGCAAACGGUACUCAGUGGGUAGGGGUAAAAUCCAUUGAUCUACUGAAGACCACCAGUGGCGAAGGCGGUUUGCCAGAACGCGCUCGGACG
rnacentral:rRNA from 1 species